rnacentral:rRNA from 1 species
AAUUUUGGACAAUGGGGGAAACCUUGAUCCAGCCAUCCCGCGUGCAUGAUGAAGGCCUNUGGGUUNUNAAGUACUUUUGGCAGAGNCGAAAAGGUACCUCCUAAUACGAGGUACUGCUGACGGUAUCUGCAGAAUAAGCACCGGCUAACUACGUGCCAGCAGCCGCGGUAAUAUGUAGGGUGCAAGCGUUAAUCGGAAUUACUGGGCGUAAAGCGUGUGUAGGCGGUUCGGAAAGAAAGAUGUGAAAUCCCAAGGCUCAACCUUGGAACUGCAUUUUUAACUGCCGAGCUAGAGUAUGUCAGAGGGGGGUAGAAUUCCACGUGUAGCAGUGAAAUGCGUAGAUAUGUGGAGGAAUACCGAUGGCGAAGGCAGCCCCCUGGGAUAAUACUGACGCUCAGACACGAGAGCGUGGGGAGCAAACAG